rnacentral:rRNA from 1 species
AGCUCCAAUAGCGUAUAUUAAAGUUGUUGCAGUUAAAAAGCUCGUAGUUGAACCUUGGGUCUGGCUGGCCGGUCCGCCUCACCGCGAGUACUGGUCCGGCUGGACCUUUCCUUCUGGGGAACCUCAUGGCCUUCACUGGCUGUGGGGGGAACCAGGACUUUUACUGUGAAAAAAUUAGAGUGUUCAAAGCAGGCCUUUGCUCGAAUACAUUAGCAUGGAAUAAUAGAAUAGGACGUGCGUUUCUAUUUUGUUGGUUUCUAGGACCGCCGUAAUGAUUAAUAGGGAUAGUCGGGGGCGUCAGUAUUCAGCUGUCAGAGGUGAAAUUCUUGGAUUUGCUGAAGACUAACUACUGCGAAAGCAUUCGCCAAGGAUGUUUUCA